rnacentral:rRNA from 1 species
UGGGGAAUAUUGCACAAUGGGGGAAACCCUGAUGCAGCGACGCCGCGUGAACGAAGAAGGUAUUCGUAUCGUAAAGUUCUGUCCUAUGGGAAGAUAAUGACAGUACCAUAGAAGAAAGCCCCGGCUAAAUACGUGCCAGCAGCCGCGGUAAUACGUAUGGAGCGAGCGUUGUCCGGAAUUAUUGGGCGUAAAGGGUACGCAGGCGGUUUAAUAAGUCGAAUGUUAAAGAUCGGGGCUCAACCCCGCAAAGCAUUGGAAACUGAUAGACUUGAGUAGUGGAGGGGAAAGUGGAAUUCCUAGUGUAGUGGUGAAAUACGUAGAUAUUAGGAGGGAUACCAGUAGCGGAGGCGACUUUCUGGACACAAACUGACGCUGAGGUACGAAAGCGUGGGGAGCAAACAGG